CCCUUAGACGUUCUGGGCCGCACGCGCGCUACACUGACCAGUGCAACAAGCAUCCGUCCUUGGCCGACAGGCUCGGGCAAUCUUUGAACGCUGGUCGUGAUGGGGAUAGACUUUUGCAAUUUUUGGUCUUCAACGAGGAAUUCCUAGUAAACGCAAGUCAUCAACUUGCAUUGAUUACGUCCCUUCCCUUUGUACACACCGCCCGUCGCACCUACCGAUUGAAUGGUCCGGUGAAGCCUCCGGAUUGGCGCGCACCUCGGUGCCGCCGAGAAGUUGGCUAAACCUUACCAUUUAGAGGAAGGUGAAGUCGUAACA
rnacentral:rRNA from 1 species